GCCGAGGUGGCGGAACUGGCAGACGCGCUGGAUUCAGGAUCCAGUGGGGUUUACCCCCGUGCGGGUUCGACUCCCGCCCUCGGCACCA
rnacentral:tRNA from 1 species